GACAGAGGGUGCAAACGUUGUUCGGAAUUACUGGGCGUAAAGCGCGUGUAGGUGGAUUGGUGUGUCAGAUGUGAAAUCCCUGGGCUCAACCCAGGAACUGCACCUGAAACUACCAGUCUUGAGUGGUGGAGAGGGAAGUGGAAUUCCUGGUGUAGAGGUGAAAUUCGUAGAUAUCAGGAGGAACACCAGUGGCGAAGGCGGCUUCCUGGACACCAACUGACGCUGAGACGCGAAAGCGUGGGGAGCAAACAGG
rnacentral:rRNA from 1 species